rnacentral:rRNA from 1 species
AUUGAACGCUGGCGGCAUGCUUUACACAUGCAAGUCGAACGGUAACAGGUUAAGCUGACGAGUGGCGAACGGGUGAGUAAUGCAUCGGAACGUGCCCGAUCGUGGGGGAUAACGCAGCGAAAGCUGCGCUAAUACCGCAUACGAUCUGAGGAUGAAAGCGGGGGACCGUAAGGCCUCGCGCGAUCGGAGCGGCCGAUGUCAGAUUAGGUAGUUGGUGGGGUAAAGGCUCACCAAGCCGACGAUCUGUAGCUGGUCUGAGAGGACGACCAGCCACACUGGGACUGAGACACGGCCCAGUCUCCUACGGGAGGCAGCAGUGGGGAAUUUUGGACAAUGGGCGCAAGCCUGAUCCAGCAAUGCCGCGUGCAGGAAGAAGGCCUUCGGGUUGUAAACUGCUUUUGUACGGAGCGAAAAGGCUCUCUCUAAUAUAGGGGGUUCAUGACGGUACCGUAAGAAUAAGCACCGGCUAACUACGUGCCAGCCGCCGCGGUAA